AGUAACGCGUGGGUAACCUGCCUUAUACAGGGGGAGUAACAGUCAGAAAUGGCUGCUAAUACCGCAUAAGCGCACAGAGCUGCAUGGCUCAGUGUGAAAAACUCCGGUGGUAUAAGAUGGACCCGCGUUGGAUUAGCUGGUUGGUGGGGUAACGGCCCACCAAGGCGACGAUCCAUAGCCGGCCCGAGAGGGUGAACGGCCACAUUGGGACUGAGACACGGCCCAAACUCCUACGGGAGGCAGCAUG
rnacentral:rRNA from 1 species